GCCGUAUGUGGUGGUGCAUACUUGUAAUCCCAGCGACUUGGGAGGCUGAAGCAGGAGAAUUGCAAGUUUGAGGACAGCCUCAGGAAUUAGUGAGGCCCUAAGUGACUUAGUGAGACCCUGUCUCAA
rnacentral:sRNA from 1 species